GUCGCUUAAAGCUUUGCACACCUCUACGCGGUGAGCGGCAGGCAACGCAGUAUGGAUGCUGUGGCUAAGGUGCAGAG
rnacentral:ribozyme from 1 species